CCUACGGGAGGCAGCAGUGAGGAAUAUUGGUCAAUGGACGAGAGUCUGAACCAGCCAAGUAGCGUGAAGGAUGACUGCCCUAUGGGUUGUAAACUUCUUUUAUAUGGGAAUAAAACGUUCCACGUGUGGGAUUUUGUAUGUACCAUAUGAAUAAGGAUCGGCUAACUCCGUGCCAGCAGCCGCGGUAAUACGGAGGAUCCGAGCGUUAUCCGGAUUUAUUGGGUUUAAAGGGAGCGUAGGUGGAUUGUUAAGUCAGUUGUGAAAGUUUGCGGCUCAACCGUAAAAUUGCAGUUGAAACUGGCAGUCUUGAGUACAGUAGAGGUGGGCGGAAUUCGUGGUGUAGCGGUGAAAUGCUUAGAUAUCACGAAGAACUCCGAUUGCGAAGGCAGUUCACUGGACUGCAACUGACACUGAUGCUCGAAAGUGUGGGUAUCAAACAGGAUUAGAUACCCUUGUAGUC
rnacentral:rRNA from 1 species